rnacentral:rRNA from 1 species
AUUCCAGCUCCAAUAGCGUAUAUUAAAGUUGUUGCAGUUAGAACGCUCGUAGUCGGAUUUCGGGGCGGGCCGACCGGUCUGCCGAUGGGUAUGCACUGGCCGGCGCGUCCUUCCACCCGGAGACCGCGCCUACUCUUAACUGAGCGGGCGCGGGAGACGGGUCUUUUACUUUGAAAAAAUUAGAGUGUUCAAAGCGGGCUUACGCUUGAAUAUAUUAGCAUGGAAUAACACUAUAGGACUCCUGUUCUAUUUUGUUGGUCUUCGGGACGGGAGUAAUGAUUAAGAGGAACAGUUGGGGGCAUCCGUAUUUCAUUGUCAGAGGUGAAAUUCUUGGAUUUAUGAAAGACGAACUUCUGCGAAAGCAUUUGCCAAGGAUGUUUUCAUUG